rnacentral:snRNA from 1 species
UGUGGAGACGUCGCUGCCG